rnacentral:tRNA from 1 species
GCCAGCGUGACGGAAUCGGUAGACGUAUCGCCGCAGCGUCGGGGUGCGGGUUCGAUCCCCGCCGCUGGCC